rnacentral:rRNA from 1 species
AUUGAACGCUGGCGGCAGGCCUAACACAUGCACGUCGAGCGAGCGGCGGACGGGUGAGUAAUGUCUGGGAAACUGCCUGAAGGAGGGGGAUAACUACUGGAAACGGUAGCUAAUACCGCAUACCAUCAGAUGUGCCCAGAUGGGAUUAGCUAGUAGGUGGGGUAACGGCUCACCUAGGCGACGAUCCCUAGCGGGUCUGAGAGGAUGACCCGCCACACUGGAACGAUGAACCGGUCCAGACUCCUACGGGAGGCAGCAGUGGGGAAUAUUGCACAAUGGGCGAAAGCCUGAUGGAGCCAUGCCGCGUGUGUGAAGAAGGCCUUCGGAUUGUAAAGCACUUUCAGCGGGGAGGCGUUACCCGAAGAAGAAGCACCGGCUAACUCCGUGCCAGCAGCCGCGGUAAUUC